AAGGGGGUAAAAAUUCCUUUACAACGAAAAUAACCCGUAUGGGCCCCCUUA
rnacentral:tRNA from 1 species